rnacentral:rRNA from 1 species
AUACGUAGGGUGCGAGCGUUGUCCGGAAUUACUGGGCGUAAAGAGCUCGUAGGUGGUUUGUCGCGUCGUCUGUGAAAUUCCGGGGCUUAACUCCGGGCGUGCAGGCGAUACGGGCAUAACUUGAGUACUGUAGGGGAGACUGGAAUUCCUGGUGUAGCGGUGAAAUGCGCAGAUAUCAGGAGGAACACCGGUGGCGAAGGCGGGUCUCUGGGCAGUAACUGACGCUGAGGAGCGAAAGCAUGGGUAGCGAACAGGAUUAGAUACCCUGGUAGUCCAUGCCGUAAACGGUGGGCGCUAGGUGUAGGGGUCUUCCACGACUUCUGUGCCGUAGCUAACGCAUUAAGCGCCCCGCCUGGGGAGUACGGCCGCAAGGCUAAAACUCAAAUGAAUCGACGGGG